rnacentral:lncRNA from 1 species
UCACACAAACCACAAAAACCAAUGCCUGCCUUCCCCUUCUCUCUCGAUAUAAACAUCAGACAACACACACAACAAUGGAGAUCAGACUUCAACUUCAUCACAUGACAAAAACCCACCCCUGCUCUCUUCUCCCUCUCGUUCUCUAGCCGACAGCCAGAGUAAAUACGACCGGUGUCGGCCACGUUCCAGCUAACCACCACAAACACCACCCUCCUCCUCCCUGUCGCACACCUACACACCUGUUGUCUUCGAUCAGUGAAACGACCGGCCACCACUACCGUCUGGUGGUGCCGCGACGCUAAACGGAGAGGAGAGAGACGGAGUCGGAGGUGCAGCGCCGCCGCCGUCAAACGGCGGGGGGGGGGGGUGUCGAUGAUGAUGGUGGUGCUUAGCCGGUAGCGGCGACCAUUUGGUUCAUGGUUUCGGGUGCGGUUUUCCGGUGACGGAGAUGGCACGGCGGAUGGGGGGUGUUAUCGGUAUAAUUAGCAGCGACAGUGAAGGUGAAGCUUGGUUUCGGGUCAGAAAUUGGUCCGAGUUGGGUUUGUUUCGAGUCACGACACAACGGGUCUAGGGUCGGUCAGUUUGGUCACUCAGCUUCGGGCUUGGUAUGGUUCAACAGACCUAAGGUUCAGAUGCAGUUCAGUCAACGAGUUAUAUUUCGGCGUUCGGGUCAAGGGUUGGUUCAACUCAGUUUGACUCGGUCAACCCGAGUCAACUCAGCCAACGACAGUCAGCGGUUCGGUCAUCUGGUCAACACAGUGAGUUGACUUGGUCAACUCAACCGAUCAACUCAGUUGACUCGGUCAACUCAGUCGACGAAGGCAGCGCGAAAGACUUGGAAUAUUGUAGAAUGCACGCUAGCGAGCCACGUCUUGGAAACGACAUCACGAAGUCGUAUAUAGCUAGCUUUGCACAGGAAUAUUCAGUUUGACUCUUGAGUCUUGACAAGCUAGAUGGAGACUUGGGAAUGAAGCGGGUCAAACGAAGCAAGUACGAAAAGAAAAAGCGUAUGCGAGGUAAGUAAAACUUACACUCUCUUUUUUUUAUAAAAUGUUUAAUCAUUAUAAGGGUUACGAAUAUGUUAAGCUAAUGGUUAAAAUGUGGUGUUCCGACAUAGUUGAUACGGCUCGGAAUAAGUAAAAAUGAUGGAAAACCAUAAUGAAUGGUAAAAUGGGUAAUUGGCGGUAUAGUCAUGGAAUGGCAAACAUACAAUGAGUUUUGAAAUGUUGCCAUAUGGGAUAACUCAUAAUAAUGAUGGGGAUAAAAUGAUAAUUAGUUGCGUGACGACAAACGUAAGAAUAAAGUUAAAUGAUACCCUACGGCGUAAGCCGAAAUGGGUUAAAUAACGAAAUGGCAAAUAUAUAUAUACCAUUCAAAUAGAAAUGCAAAAUGUUUGGUCGUUUAGACCAAACGGGUUAAAGGGUAAUUUUUAGCGCCAUUUGACAAAUAACAACUAAUAAGUAUUUUCGAGUCUAAUGCUCAUAGGAUAAGAACGGCUUACGGAAGUUUGCAUUUGCUAUAAAUUAGCAAAAUCAUUAAAGCAAGAUAUUAGAGCGGGUCAAUACUUGACCCGAGCCAGGUACGCAUAUUUUAAAUUAUAGUUAGAAGUAAUAUGUUGGUCAAAUAUUAGUGAAAGCCCUUCGUCGUAAAAUGAGGGACUGAAAUUGACCAAGAUACCCAAGAACGCUAAACCGGGUAAACGGUCUUUAUGAGUCGUUUAAGAACGUGUAUUAUGAUAAUGUAAGUUAUAGAUAAGUAUAAAGUGGAUUGUGCAUAACAAAAGGGAAAGAUUUAAACUUAGAAGGUUUAAGUCUUCGAAACGGAUCAAAAGAAUUAUGCGCAUAGAUUGAGUACUAGCCGCGUAAUUCAGAAAAGUUACAAACCCGAACUAUAGAUUUUGAGUUAAGCAUGUUGAUGUAUGCUAAAUGGUUAAUUAGAAACAAGGCUGUAAACUUUUAAAACAAAUGGGUCGAAUAAAUGAAAUAAGAAAUUAUAAACUAAUCAUUUAUAAUUCAGGUUUCAUAUACGGAAAAUAUGAUAAAUUGAUGUGUAUUUUUAUUACAAGCGCGUAGGAAAAAGAAUCACCUAAAACAGAAUUGUAGAUAAAAAGUUAUGACACUUUAAAGAUCGUUAGCUGGGAAAAAUGCAGGAUUCAGCAAAAAAACUGCUGGAAAAUCAUCUCCCCCGCGACACGUGACAGGGAGCAGUAAUCCUGGCGCGACACGCGAGGGCGCUCGCGGCACGCGAAAGAUCAAGAAGAGUCUGUCGCGUGGCGCGACAGACUUAAUUCCGAAAUUUUAUUUUAUUUUUGAUUGUUUGAUACUAGAACUUGACUACACUAUUAUUUAAGAUAUCGAAACUAACUUUUAAGUUGGUUUUGAUCAUAGGUGAAUGCCAAGAUGUCCCGGAUGAAGAUCAAGCUCAUUGAAGAACCGAACACGAUCAAGAUACCAGCUUCCGCACAUGGUUUCGUCGUCAUUUAAAAACGACGAAUUUGUACAUAUUGUAUUGUAUUGUUUCAAAUCCGAAAAUGUUUUAAUUUAACCGUAUUUUUCAAUGUAUAUGUAAUUGUAAUUACAUGUUUACUUACGUAAAUAUUAUGAAAACCCUAAAAUAAUAGCAAGAGUGUUAC